UGGAAAUCGGGAGGAAAGAAAGUUCAUUUAAGUGGAGAUAGAUAUAAGAAGGCUGCCAUGUUUUGUCCUUUCUGUGGCCAACAUCUGGGGACAGUUCAAGUGUUCUGUGGCUCCUGUGGCAAACAUGUACAGUUUGUGGCAGAAGUUGAACACAACAGCAUUCCAUAAGGAGGGUCAGGAACUCACGCUUGGGACCACCAGUGUCCACUCCAUCCUCAGUGUGUCCCUCCUCCUCAGUGAACUUAACUGACCUUUCAUGAGAGGGAUCGAAUGAGGCACCUUUGAAGCCGCGGAUUGCUCCAUCCCAUACACUGGCUCUAUUCAUAUUGAACCUGCUGCAAGAUGUAUUUGUUCUUUUUGCAGAGAGUUCUGCAACAAUGUCCUACGCAGUCAGGUAUUCUGUGCUGGGAAAGACAAAGUGAUGUAUUGUAAUAUUAAAUGAUGAAGCUAUAAUAAGAUUUACAGUAUAGAUAGAACAAUUAAGUGGUAAUAGUAACAAUUAAUACCUUUGCUCCAUUUUGUCUUCUGGCUCAGACUGGCUAUCAAUAAUGAGAAGUGCAUUCACAUUUGUGUAGUUGCUGCAGUGAGAAGACAGUUGAAUAAUUAUUUUCAAAUACAUAAUAUAUGCAUGACAGUCAUAUUUA